rnacentral:lncRNA from 1 species
CGUGCACCCAGAGGUGUCAACGCUUUUCAAAAAUAAAAAGUUGUGAAAACAUUUUUUAUCAAAAACAAAAGUUGAAAAGUCAUGAUGAGAUAUUGUGAUGAUAAAUUGUCAUGUAAACAUUAUGCACAUAAGUCAUCUGUAUACCUUUGUAACUUUCUAAAAAAAAAGAAAGUCACCAAGAAGCUCUUGGAUUGACCGCUGGUUUUGAAUCUAGUUGUCGUUGGCUCGAUAAAUAGUAGAGUUGUGCGUCGAAAGAGAUUUGUUCGUUUGAACUUAUUUUUAAAUCUGUUAGCUAUUUAGUAGUGUUUUUCUCUUAUAACAAAUCAGUGGAUAGUAUUUUCAGUCAUGGCUUUUUAGCCAAGCCAACAGAGUGAGAAUUAAUGUGCUGAGGCGCGUGCGGCACCGUCCGAAAAGGGAAUAUGAUGGAAAUUUAUUUUUUUCCUAAGAAAGAAAAGUGGUGGGGCGUAUUGUCCGAUGAACUUGAAUCGGGUGAACGUUCGCAAAUUAGUUGGAUUGGAAAAGUUGAGAGAUCCCCUCUCGCUGGAAAAAAGUAGCUUGCCUGCUUGUAGCUAGCUAGAAUUUAGGGGCCUUGUUAUGACUCACUCUAUUGGAGUACGAAUUAUUUUUUUUAUUGUCUCAGCCUCAGAAAAUAGAGUAGCCUCGCUAAAGUUACUCUUGUGCCAAGGAGGAUGUAUAUAUCCCGAAUAUAUCACUGAUUCAUGCAAUCCCGUGGCGCGAAUCUCAGUGAGCAGGUUGAAGUUGAACUUUCAACGACCCAAUUAUUCCUAAUUUUUUUUCUUUUUAUUGCCUUUCUGCAGAGAGAGGGUGCGUAGCUUGUUAUUUUAGCAAGCUAGGAGUAUUUUGUACCGUGGAGCGCAGCCGACUCUUGAUUUCGACGCUAGGGCACUCUGCAUUCUGCUUUUGUGCCGGCUGUCGUCUGAACUCAGCGCUUCACACACGUCUAUACCUACGUAUGCAUACGUAUAUAUAUGCUCUCUGCGCUGCAUAUAUUGUAGUGAUGAUCGAGUCAGUAUACGUACGUACAUGCUAGUAAUCUACCUACGUAGAUACUAUAUGCGUAUGCCACUUAGACGACAGCACACUUUCGUAUAUAUACCCUCUCUCUAUAAAUAGCCCGCAACACAUGCGUAGAGCCACAGAGCACUCGGUCGGUAGU